rnacentral:rRNA from 1 species
GGAGCAACCAUUUGGAGCUAGCCGUCGAAGGUGGGACAAAUGAUUGGGGUGAAGUCGUAACAAGGUAGCCGUAUCGGAAGGUGCGGCUGGAUCACCUCCUUUCUAAGGA